rnacentral:lncRNA from 1 species
GACCAAUAUCCAUGUGUGACCGAAACUGAACCAAAAACACCACUUUGACUAUUUGUGUAAACAUAUCUGAACGUAUAUCUCUAUGCUAGACUACUUUUGUAUAUUUCAUCCUCACUUUUUUAAGUAAUUGACAAUCACUAGGGUACUUUUAUUAUUUAAAAAAACCCCACCAUGAUUCAUAUUGUUUCUCAAAGUGUUUCAGAUUAUCCAACGUGGAGAGCAGCGAGUGAGAAACAACAGGGAGGAGAGAGGAUGUGUGUAAGGCUCCCUCUCUCCUCCUCCUCACACGCUGGUGACAGAGAGGUAGACGGGAGUGUUUAUCAUGAGCCGCCCGUGAGACUCAGCAGCACAGUGACGGGGACAGACAUUACAGAGAGGAGAGGGGACGCACAUCGACACACUCGAGUGUGAGGAAGCUUUCAGUCCAGCAGACACUUCGCGCAGACUGGGGACGACUGGAUUGGUGAGUGGAACUCUUGGCUGUGAAUUUACUUAAAAAAAAAUUAAAUCCUCAUUUACUUAUAAAUAUUGUUGACGUUUAUGAUUUAUUGGCAACAUUGAGUGACC